rnacentral:rRNA from 1 species
AGGACGAACGCUGGCGGCGUGCUUAACACAUGCAAGUCGAACGAAGCAUUGUGAAGGAGGCUUCGGCCAAUGGAUCAAAUGACUUAGUGGCGGACGGGUGAGUAACGCGUGAGCAACCUGCCUUUCAGAGGGGGAUAACGUUUGGAAACGAACGCUAAUACCGCAUGACAUAGCUUUAUCGCAUGGUAGGGCUAUCAAAGGAGCAAUCCGCUGAAAGAUGGGCUCGCGUCCGAUUAGAUAGUUGGUGGGGUAACGGCCUACCAAGUCGACGAUCGGUAGCCGGACUGAGAGGUUGAACGGCCACAUUGGGACUGAGACACGGCCCAGACUCCUACGGGAGGCAGCAGUGGGGAAUAUUGCACAAUGGGCGCAAGCCUGAAUGCAGCAACGCCGCGUGAGGGAAGACGGUUUUCGGAUUGUAAACCUCUGUCCUUGGUGACGAAGAAUGACGGUAGCCAAGGAGGAAGCCACGGCUAACUACGUGCCAGCCGCCGC